UACGUAGGUGGCAAGCGUUAUCCGGAUUUAUUGGGUGUAAAGGGUGCGUAGGCGGUCCGUUAAGUCAGCGGUAAAAUUGCGGGGCUCAACCCCGUCGAGCCGUUGAAACUGUCAGACUUGAGUUGGCGAGAAGUACGCGGAAUGCGCGGUGUAGCGGUGAAAUGCAUAGAUAUCGCGCAGAACUCCGAUUGCGAGGGCAGCGUACCGGCGCCACACUGACGCUGAGGCACGAAAGCGUGGGGAUCGAACAGG
rnacentral:rRNA from 1 species